rnacentral:rRNA from 1 species
GGGGGCUGCUCCUAGUACGAGAGGACCGGAGUGGACGCAUCACUGGUGUUCGGGUUGUCAUGCCAAUGGCAUUGCCCGGUAGCUAAAUGCGGAAGAGAUAAGUGCUGAAAGCAUCUAAGCACGAAACUUGCCCCGAGAUGAGUUCUCCCUGAGACUUUAAGUCUCCUGAAGGAACGUUGAAGACGACGACGUUGAUAGGCCGGGUGUGUAAGCGCAGCGAUGCGUUGAGCUAACCGGUACUAAUGAACCGUGAGGCUUAACCUUACAACGCCGAAG